AAUGAACGUUGGCGGCGUGGAUUAGGCAUGCAAGUCGAGCGAGAUCUGUAGCAAUACAGUGAAAGCGGCGAAAGGGAGAGUAAUACGUAGGUACCUGCCCUCGGGUCUGGGAUAGCUGCGGGAAACUGCAAUUAAUACCAGAUGACGUCUGAGGACCAAAGGUGUGAUUCCGCCAGGGGAUGGGCCUGCGUCCUAUCAGCUAGUUGGUGUGGUAAAGGCGCACCAAGGCAAAGACGGGUACGGGGUGUGAGAGCAUGCCCCCGCUCACUGGGACUGAGACACUGCCCAGACACCUACGGGUGGCUGCAGUCGAGAAUCUUCCGCAAUGGGCGAAAGCCUGACGGAGCGACGCCGCGUGUGGGAUGAAGGCCUUCGGGUUGGAAACCACUGUCAGUGGGGAGCAAAUGGCUAGGGGUUCUCCCCUAGUCUUGAGCGAUCCGCAGAGGAAGCACAGGCUAAUUCCGUGCCAGCCGCCGCGGUAACAC
rnacentral:rRNA from 1 species